GCAUGAGUCAGUUUACACAUUCAUCUGAUCACUAGAGGGAGUGAAGAAUCACUUCAGUUCAGUCAAACUGUGCUGAGAAACAAACCAUGAUCUCUUCAUCUUUAGUGCUGCUUCUGGCAGUCAUAUCCUGUAUUGAUUCAUAUGAACUUACUCAGCCUGAGUCUCUGACUGUCCGUCCUGAUGCCACUCUCACUAUCAACUGUAAAGUCUCAUAUUCAGUUACAAGUGAGCAUACAGGCUGGAUUCGUCAACCUGCAGGAAAAGCUCUGGAGUGGAUUGGAAUCAUCUGGAAUAGUGGAGGCACAGCCUACAAGGAUUCCCUGAAAAGCAAGUUCAGUAUCAGCAGAGACACUUCCAGUAACACAAUAACACUGCAAGGAAACAAUAUGCGAGCUGAAGACACAGCUGUGUAUUAUUGUGCCAAAGAAACACAGUGACAGACUCCAAAACACUCCCUGUACAAAAACACCAUCAUCAUAUCACAAAUUAAGUGUUUUUUUUUUUUUUAAAAUCAUUUUCUUCAGGCUGAUUCUUUGAAGCUCAUUGCAAAUUCUACAGAUAAUUCAUAAUAAAAAUACUAUGGUUAUACAUAUUUAUAUCUCUAACAUGACCAUAUUUUUCAUGGUCAUAUCUGAUCAUAUUUUUUUCUUCUCCUCAUUUGUCCACUGUGUUGAACUGUCCCAGACUGAUUCUAUGGUCUUAAAGGGAUAGUUCACCCAAAAAUUAUGUCAUUAAUAACUUACCCUCACGUCGUUCCAAACAC